rnacentral:rRNA from 1 species
UACAGAGGUGGCAAGCGUUGUUCGGAAUUACUGGGCGUAAAGGGCGCGUAGGCGGCCUUCUAAGUCAGACGUGAAAUCCCCCGGCUUAACCUGGGAACUGCGUCUGAUACUGGAGGGCUUGAGUGCGGGAGAGGGGUGUGGAAUUCCAGGUGUAGCGGUGAAAUGCGUAGAUAUCUGGAGGAACAUCAGUGGCGAAGGCGACACCCUGGACUCAUACUGACACUGAGGUGCGAAAGCGUGGGGAGCAAACAGG